CCUACGGGUGGCAGCAGUGGGGAAUAUUGCACAAUGGGGGAAACCCUGAUGCAGCGACGCCGCGUGAGUGAAGAAGGAUUUCGGUAUGUAAAGCUCUAUCAGCAGGGAAGAAAAUGACGGUACCUGACUAAUCAGCCCCUGCUAACUACGUGCCAGCCGCCGCGGUAAUACGUAGGGGGCAAGCGUUAUCCGGAUUUACUGGGUGGAAAGGGAGCGUAGACGGCCAGACAAGUCAGAAGUGAAAGCCGAGGGCUCAACCCUGGGACUGCGUUUGAAACUGCCGGGCUGGAGUGCAGGAGAGGUCAGCGGAAUUCCUAGUGUAGCGGUGAAAUGCGUAGAUAUUAGGAGGAACACCAGUGGCGAAGGCGGCUGACUGGACUGCAACUGACGUUGAGGCUCGAAAGCGUGGGGAGCAAACAGGAUGAGAUACCCGAGUAGUC
rnacentral:rRNA from 1 species